rnacentral:lncRNA from 1 species
AGAAAAUUUCCUAGACUACGUGAAAUUAGGAUAAGAAAUUGUCCUAAAUGGGUUGUGACAUUGCCUACCUCCCUUCAUUCCCUUGAGGAAUUGUACAUUGAUGGAUGUCAAGAUAUUAUUCUCGAAAGUGUGCAUGAUCUAUGUUCCCUCCAAACCUUGCACAUUUCGAGUAUUUCAGCACUUGAAAACUUACAUCAAGUGGUUACGCAGUCCUUGGUGGCGCUAGAAUAUCUGUCCAUUGGUAAUUGCAGCCAAUUGAUACACCUGUGGCAGGGUUCAGCUAAUUUAGACAAACUUUCUAGCUUGAAAUCUUUAUGGAUCCAUGAGUGUGAGAAGCUAGUGUCGUUGGUAGGAGGAGAGGAAGGGAAUUUGCCAUGCAAUCUUGAAUAUUUGGGGAUAUGGGAAUGCGAUGGAUUUGAGAUUCUGCCAAAUGGGUUGCAAACCCUCACAUCUCUUAGAGAGCUGGAUAUCAAUCGGUGCCGAAACCUUGUGUCCUUCCCAUCUGCAGGUUUACCUUGUAGUCUUAAAAGUCUCGAAAUCGAAUAUUGUCCUUCUCUGGAGUCCUUGCCGAAGGGCAUUGUGCAUGAUAGUAACGCCAGGAAUGAGAUGUCUCAUCUUGAGGUUGUGCGUGUCAAAAAAUGUCCAUCUCUUACAUCGCUUCCAAUCGGUGAAUUUCCCUAUUCAAUUUAACAAAUUGAUAUUUGCUUUUGGACGACACAACUUUUGGAUUCAUUUCGUAAUAGGUUCUCGCAUCUCACCACAUUAACAAUAUAUGGCUCUGAGUUGGAGUGUUUCCCAGAAAGUGGAUUGGCCAUCCCCAACCUUAGCCUUUUAAUCAUAGAACACUGUGAAAAUUUGAGGUUGCUUCCCAAUCAAAUGCAAAAUCUUACAUCUCUUAAUUAUUUAGAGAUAAAUAAUUGUGGAGGUCUUGUGUCCUUUCCAGAUGAGGUUUUACCCCCAAACCUUACUUCUUUAUACAUACGGAGUUGUGAGAAUUUGAGAUUUCUUCCCACUCAAAUGCAAAAUCUCACAUCUCUUCAAAGUUUAGAAAUAGUUGACUGUUUAGGUCUGGUGUCCUUUCCAGAUGGCGGUUUACCCCCAAAACUAGGUCGUCUUCAAAUUUUAAAUUGCAAGAAUCUGAAACAGCCAAUGUCAGAGUGGAGACUCAAAAGACUCGCCUCUCUCACCCGUCUCACAAUCGCAGGGCCAUGUCCAAAUACAGAUAUGGAUUCCUUCCCAGAUGAGAAGGGCCUACUGCUUCCCUCUUCCCUAACCUUUCUUGGGAUCGAAGAUUUUAAAAAUCUGAAAUCAAUAUCCAGAGGCAUUCACCAUCUCACCUCUCUUGAUGCAUUAGGAAUUCGAAAUUGCCCUAAGCUCCAGUCCUUUCCCAAGGAGGGCCUUCCGACCACACUUGAAAUAUUGAUUAUCGACAGGUGUCCCCUUCUGGAAAGACGAUGCAGAAAAGGGAAAGGAGACUAUUGGCGCUUUAUUGCCAAUAUCCCCCGUUUCACAACUGAAUAGAGAAUAGAGAAUGAAGGGAGUCCUCACAUACAACGAGGUAUUCAUCUUUUUACUUUUGCUUGCAGCUAAAACUAUAACUGAUAUAUGCAAUAUUUUUAAGCCAAAAUAGAAUAGAUAUAAAAAAAUGAAUUGCAUUCAAUUAUGUGGUGUUUCAAGUUUCAACCAUAUUACCCCAUUCUGUUCUGACUCUGAUAUGAGCUGAUUUUAUACAUAUCAAAUCUUGGCUGCAAAUAAUGCAAUUGUUUCUUCAGGUCUGCAAAAGCCUGGACUGCUUAGCCCAGGACUCGAGAUUGUCAUAAUCGUCUCAAAUCCAAUCCCUGCUGGUAAGGGUAAUUGUCAUAAUUUUAUAAAGACUGCUAUUAGUUAAGCUUGCAAAGUUUGGAUGUUUUAUUGAUGUUUUAUUUUCAGAUGUUUUAUUUUCACUUAGCAUUUCUAAUCCUAGGAGGGGUGUAUGGGGGAGGCCUGUUGGUCGGGUUUAGAUGGAUUAGUUAUGUUAAGUUUUUCCUGGAUGAUGUUUGUAAUAAUAAAUUUAAUUUUCAAAAAAAAAAAAAAAAAAAAAAAAAAAAAAAAAGAGAGUACAAUCCUGUUUCUGCUACAUAUGACUACAAUGAGCAGUUGUUACCAAUUUAUCAGACAAGAAUUCUGUUUCCUAUGUUGAGAUACUUAUAUGAGCAUAUUUGUUUAUUUAUUGACAGAUUUAAGGCUCUGGAAGUAUUAUUUAAAGUGAAGAAGUUUUACAGACAUUGGUUGAGAAUUUUUCAGAUGGAAAUUAUCUUUUUUUUUUUUUAUUUUUUUAUUUUUAUAAAUGGAAUAGGGUCCGUUCUUCCUACAAAACAUCCGGUCAAGAGUCAGGUGAUCUCGAACUACUUGCUAUUCAUGCAAACGACAGGUCGUCUGCACCAAGAUGCAAAUGACUUGCAUUUGCGAGUGAAUUUGAGUUUUUAUAAGUAACUAUACUGGCAAUGUGGCUUUAUGGAGCAAAAUCUGAUUCUGAAUGAAAAAAAUUACAUCAAAAGAAUCUAUAUGCUUCAAAAUCUAAUAAUAAUUUAUUUUCUUUUCUUUUGCUUUGUGGAGGGAAAUUUGAACCAUGAUUUAUAGUCAGGUUGUAUAUCCAUUUACCAUCACUCUAUUACGGCUUAUUGCGCAUAAAUUCAAUAAAAUUAAGCCUAAUAAUUUGUCUAUUGUUUAUAACAAAUUAACACAAUAAAAUUCUAAUAAAUAUAAUAAAAUUGAGGUACAUAGAUUAUGAAAUUUUUGGAAGAGGUUUGCCAAGAAGAAAGUGGUGAAUAAGUGAGAGUGCUCUUGCAGGCUGGAAGGCAGGCACUUCAUGUCCAGCCCCUCUCACAGUAGCAAAAGUAAGGUCUCCUUUAUAAAUCUCAGUAUACCCACCAACCUGAAACACAAUCAUUCAUCCACAAAACAUUUAUUUCAAUUUCUUUAUUACAAUUUACAAUUUAUAAAUUAUAUAAUUAAUUAAAUUUUAAUAAAUAAUUAAUUUACCUCCCCAUUAAGGUACCAAGGGUACCAUUCAGUUUUAAUAGGAAGCUUCAACUUUGCGAGUGAGUAUUGAGUAGAAGUAACAGGUACUCUUCCAUCCGUAUCACCACUGCAUGGUAAAAUGUUAAAAUGGUAAAAUGUUUUUAAAAUAACAGUUAUUCAUCAGCUUGUUGAGCGUUUCUUUUUGGUAUCCUAAAUUUAUUUUUAUUUAGGAUAAUUACAUUAAAUACUGCAUUCCUGACUGUUAGUGCUUAGCUCUUCAAUUGUUGAUUGAUUAUAACAAUCUAAGGUCUAUUCGACAAGAUUAGUUAUUUUAGUUUUUCAAAAAAUGCUAAAAGCUAGACGUUCAGUGAGUUAAAUUUUUAUAAAACGCUACUUUAACAUGUAAAAAUUAAUUCAAACGUUAUGUUACCGAAUUCUAAAAAAAUAAUAGCAUUUAGCAUUUUAAUUGAUCAAAACACUAAAAUCUAUUUUAAAAAUUGUUGCCUAAAAGUUUUAAGAUAUAAUCUAUGUUUCAUGGAAAUUAAAACGAAAUAGCGUAGAAACACAGAAACAAAGAAAUGCGAAAAGCUUAUAAUUUGGAGUUUUCAUACUUCAUAAAAUAUAAUAUUAUCUAAUAAAAAAAUGUUUUAAUUAGGUGAUAUAAUAUAUAUAUAUAUUUUUUUUUUCUUAUGAGACUGACCUAUAAACCAAGAUUCUUACUCCAUUUUCCAUGAACUCCUUGAGCAAGGGAAGAAUUGUUGAAGGGCUAUCUGUCCACCUAUCAAUAAUAUCACUACAUGGUUCCCAAUCAUGAUCAAGCUUAGUGACAUUGGCAUGCAAAGCUUCUUGCACAUCAGCCCUAUUGAAAUAAGCAUGCACAUAAUAGUCACUGCAUGGAUCAAAAUUAUCCAGCUGCAAAAUAAAACAAACCAAUUUUAGUUAUAUAUUUAUAAAAUCACCUUUCUGCAUCUAUAAAAAAAUUGUGUUAAUCAACUUACUGAAGCCUUCUUGGGGUGAGCUGUGAUAUUCUCAUCAAAGCACAAAGGAGCAUAAAUGUUAUAAAUGUCAACAGCUUGAGAAUAUUUGUCAGCCUUCUCAGUAGCUGCUCUGCACUCUUUGGAUGGAUGGUUGAUAUACUUAGGUGAGAAAUUACAGUGUUUUUUUAUUUUUUGCAGUGUUUUUGGUGAAGAUAAAACAUGGGUUGUAAAGAAAGUAUACAUUCCUAGAGUAUCUGUUUCAUCAUUUAUCACUGCAUUUCCAAUCUGCAUUUUCACAGAUAUAAACAUACGGUUAGCUUCAAUUUCAAUAAUUUAUAUGCACGGAAACUUCUAGCCAUGAAUGUUUUAUGUUUCGGAAACGUUUCCACUUUUCUAGUAUAAAAUACCGUUUUUCCAAGUAAAAUUAUGUUUUAUAUGUUAGAAAGGCACAUACUGCAAUUCCUUUGAGGUUGAUAAUGGUUUUGUUGGCCUUCUUGUUGUAGUAAAGGAUGGUAUGUGCAAGCUGAGGAACAUAAUGGCCUGCAUAGCUUUCUCCAGAAAUGUAGAAAUCUCUUCCUUUAUAUUCUGGAAAUCUUUGAAGCCAAUUUACCAAAAUCAAAUAAUUUUCUGUUGCUGUAUAUCUAUCGCCAGAAUUCUCAUAAUCUGAUGUCCUGUUUGAGUAUGAAAAGCCUACUCCAACAGGAGACUCCAGAAACGGAACAUUUGCAACUGAAAAAAAAAAAAAGAAAAAUUAAAAANNNNNNNNNNNNNNNNNNNNNNNNNNNNNNNNNNNNNNNNNNNNNNNNNNNNNNNNNNNNNNNNNNNNNNNNNNNNNNNNNNNNNNNNNNNNNNNNNNNNNUUCAUUAUUUUUUAUAAAUAUUAUUAUUAUUACAAACAGAUAGUCCAGUUCUUUAAGUUAUUUCAAAAGUAAAAUAAUUAAGGAAUUACCAUUAUUCCAUGAAAAUCUGUUCUUGUUCUUGUAAAGUGUUUUGCCAUCACUGUAUACUCGAAAUGGUCCAAGCUCUUGCAUCAACCCAUAAGCCAAAGAUGAACAACCAGGCCCUGUAAAAAUAUUAAUCAGCAACAGACAGUAAUAUUAUACAUUUAAAUUGAAAAUUUAACAUAAUAAUAAUAACAAUAAAAAGAAUACUAUUUUCAGGAAAUAAAUAAAUUUAGAACACAAAAGGGAGAAAAAGGGAAAAAGAAUAUAUUAAAUACCUCCAUUUAGCCACAGAAGAAGAGGCAAAGAGUUCUUAGAACUUUCUUGAGCUUCGGCAAAAUAAUAAUAUAAGGCUUUUCCAGCUAACUUAUCCACAGUAACAUAACCUCCAUAUUGUGAAAACUUAACUUGAGGUUGGCCAGGCAAUCUUUUGAUCCUAUCUUUUUCUUUAUCUUUUCCAUUUUCUUGAUUUAUAGUAAUAAUAGAAUCAAUUGUCCUAAAAUUGCUUGUGUCCAUACCAGAAUUCCCAUUAAGCUUGGAUUUGUAAAGAUUCCCAAGAACUUCACUUUGCCUCUUGCUAUGGCUCUGAGAUGUUAAAUAAGAAAAAAUGAAAAAGAAAAGGAAUAUCAAACAUGGGUUUUUCCCCAUUGCAGGAAAAGGUUUUACGGUUUUUAAUUUUUUGGAUUUUUGUUUCUUGAAUCCAAAUUAUGUGUUUAUAUAAGUAUAGGGAUGUGUGUGUGUGCGCGCAAUGGAGAGAGAGUAUCUAUAGAAGGAUUUUGUUUUCUGAUUUCCUAAUUUAGAUCAAUAUUAGUUAUUAUUCCCUCCAUCUUAUAAAAUUAUGCUUGUUUCUAUUUUCUCACAAACUAAUUAAAUGUAAUUAAUAUUUUUGAAUAAUAAAUUUGACCUAUAUUUCUCUUGAUAUACCCCCUAUUGUAAUAUUAGAUAUCAUUUUCUUGAUAUACUCCCAGGUAGUAGAGGGUAAAAGUUUUUAAUUCUCCUCACAAAUUGAGUUUUCAGAGAAUCGAACUUGUAUUAUCGCCUUAUGAAGAUUGAGAUUAUUUACCGAUCCAAUCAACACCUUAAUUAUUGCUAAUUUUAGAAAUCACUUUAAAUAAAAAAUUAAGUGAGAAAAAUUUUAAUAAGAGAAAUAUUAAAUAAGAGUAUAUAGAGAAAACCUAUUUUCCAGAAUGAGUCAUUGUCAAAAUAUACAGCUUUAUUUUCCAUAUAAGACAUUGGACUUUUUAUUUUGCCUCGCUAUGGCUUUGCAUAUCUCGAACCCAUGACCUUCAGGUCACUGAGUCAUUCUUGCAUAUAGGGGUGGCCACGGUUCCGGAACCGGCAGUUCCGGUUCCGGAAAAACUGGAAUCGGAACCGAACCGAAAAGGUCCGGUUCUGGUUCCGGUUCCGGUUUGGAACCGUCCGGUUCCGAUUCCGAUUCGGUGACAAAACCGACGGUUCCGAUCAGUUUUCCGGCGAAUCGCAUAAUUUUAAAUUUUAAAUUUUGAAGACCGGUUUAAAAAAAUAUAUAUUUGAACAUAAAAAAUUAAAAAAUACACCUAAAAAAUUAAAAAAUACUUCAAUUAAAUUUAUUUUUUUAAAGACUUGAACAUAAUUAUUUUUUUAAAAAAAANNNNNNNNNNNNNNNNNNNNNNNNNNNNNNNNNNNNNNNNNNNNNNNNNNNNNNNNNNNNNNNNNNNAAAAAAAAAAGACUUGAACUUAAUUUUUUUUUUAAAAAAAAAUUAAGUUGCCUACGUAUCCUCUUGGGGUUUAGAGGAAUCAAAGCCUACGUAGUUCUUACUUACCUUAUACCAAUUUCACCUCUUAUACCUUAAUUACUAUUUGCACCACCGGUUGAUGUUCCCAUUGAGGACCCAUCGUAUAAAUCAUAUAAAUCUUCAUUUUCUUUUGGAUUUUCUUGGGCUCUUAGUUCGGCCUUGCUCCAAUCAUCCACGCAUGAUUGUGCUUCUAAUGAAUCGGGUGUCAUACGAGAUCGUGUUUCAUCAAGUAUGUUUCCUCCUUGACUAAAAGCUUGUUCAACCGCAACAGUGGAGACCGGAGCUGCUAAAAUUUGUUUUGCAAGUAAAGAAAGAAUUGGAAAAGUAUUUGCGUGAUGACUCCACCAAUCUAAAAUUGGAAAAUCAGUAUCUGCAUAAUCAUCACCAAACUCAAAACAAGUGAUUAGAUAAUUUUCAAAUUCAGAAAAAGAACUGGAUUCCCUUGUUCUUUUUUGUCUUUGUAGUAAAACUUGUUGAGCAACACCAACACCACUUACCCUUUGUGUUGGAAAUUGUUGAAUAUUAGAUUGAGAAGAAGUAGAAGUAGAUGAACUAGAAACUUGAACAAAUUCAUUAUAUAAUUGCAUAAAAAUUUUUUUAACUUCAUUCAUUACUACAUUUAUAUUAACAUUAUUUUCUACAUCAAGAUUUAAUACUUCAUAAUAAAUAGUUAAAUAAUCACAUAAAACAUCAAGUUUACAUGUAGGAUCAAAUACAAUAACAACAAGAUAAAGGGUGGUAUAUUUUUAAAAUAAGAUAACCNNNNNNNNNNNNNNNNNNNNNNNNNNNNNNNNNNNNNNNNNNNNNNNNNNNNNNNNNNNNNNNNNNNNNNNNNNNNNNNNNNNNNNNNNNNNNNNNNNNNNNNNNNNNNNNNNNNNNNNNNNNNNNNNNNNNNNNNNNNNNNNNNNNNNNNNNNNNNNNNNNNNNNNNNNNNNNNNNNNNNNNNNNNNNNNNNNNNNNNNNNNNNNNNNNNNNNNNNNNNNNNNNNNNNNNNNNNNNNNNNNNNNNNNNNNNNNNNNNNNNNNNNNNNNNNNNNNNNNNNNNNNNNNNNNNNNNNNNNNNNNNNNNNNNNNNNNNNNNNNNNNNNNNNNNNNNNNNNNNNNNNNNNNNNNNNNNNNNNNNNNNNNNNNNNNNNNNNNNNNNNNNNNNNNNNNNNNNNNNNNNNNNNNNNNNNNNNNNNNNNNNNNNNNNNNNNNNNNNNNNNNNNNNNNNNNAAAUAUCACAACAAAUUGAAACACGAAUUUUCAUUUGAGAAAAUAAAAGCUCUAACUCUUUUUUUCCUUUAUUAUAUAAAGAAAUAAUAGUUCGUUUUACAGUAUUUCUUGGUACUCUUUUAGCAGAAGGAUUUAAAGCUUUUUGACAAUAAUUAUUAAAACCUACUUUUUCACCAAAACUAAAAGAUAAAUGUUCCAUAGAAAUCAUUUUUGCUAAUUCUUCUUUUUGUAUUUUUUCAGAAUAUUGAAAUAAAGAAAGGUUAGAAGGUGCGUACCCGGAAAUUUGUGUUUGAGACCGAUCAACUCCUAUUUUUGUUGGAUGUUUUGCCUCCAAAUGCUUCCAAAAUGAUCCAUAGCCACCCGCUUGUUUAAAUUUAUAAGAUUUUGCACAAUAAUUGCAAAUUACAUCGUACAUUUUCUCACCUUUGAAUUUUUUCGUGAAAUGAAUGGCGAAUAUGUCGGAAUUUUGCCUUGCUCUUCCAACAAUUUGUGCUCGUUGCUCUUGCUCUUGCUCUUCCUCUUCUUGUAAUUGCUCAUUAAAUUCGGAUUCUUGAGUUGGAAUUUCCAAAUUUUCAUUUGGAUAUCCCUUAAAAUUAAAUUGGUUGGGAGUGAAAUCAUAGAUGUCGUUUGUAGGGAUAGAUAAAUAUCGUGUUUCUCCAAUCUUUCCUUGCCCUUACCCGAAUUUGAGUUUCCUCCACUUGCCAUUAUAUGAUAAUAAGAUAUAAUUUGAAAAUUUUAAUAAAAAAAAUUAGAGAGAAUAAUAACUUAAUAAGAGAGAUUGUAGAGUAGAGAAGAAUAAUAUAGAGUAGAGCGUAGUAGAGUGUAGUAUAUUAUAGAGAGAGUAAGUAGAGAGAGUUGAGAUUUUUUUGUUAUAAAUUUGUAAAUAAAAUGAGGUAUUUAUAAUAAAUUCAAAAAAUUAUUUUUUCAAAAAUACCCUUGAAACUAGCCGUUAUGUAGCCGUUUAUGGCUGUUGGGGGUAAUUAAGAGAUUUCACAACAAAAUUAAAAAAAAAAAAAACUGGUCUGACAGUUUAUAACGGCUAACUCUGCUGUUUGUGGAAGUUGUGGAACAUAAUGCCCUGCAUAGCUCUCUGCAGAAAUGUAGAAAGCUCUAUCUUUGUAUUCAGGAAAUCUCUUCAGCCAAUUUACCAAGAAUAUAUAAUUAUCCUCUGCUGUUUUUUUUGUCUCCAUUGUUAUCAUAAUCCGAUGUCCUAUUAGAGUAUAUUAUGUUGGUGUAUGUGCAAUUAUUGCAUGGAAUAAUAGUUGGUGUAUGUGCAAUAAUUAUCUUUUUUUUUUUUUUUUUUUUUUUUUUUUUUUUUUUAUGAAAACUGCCAGAAAUAAUGAUUAUUAACCGUUUAAAUUUUAAAAACUACUUACCAAUAAUUAUCUACCGUACGUUCGAACACCAAACCAAUAAUUGAUUUCCUAAAUUUAUAUUCACUUACAGCUUAAUUUUUCCAUAUGAGGCACUUGACUCGUUUGGCCAAUGCAUUUACCCCUCUAUUUUAUUUUUUUUUCAAUCAAUAUUAUUUUUAAGAAUCCAAAUCACUUAUUAAUAUUUAGGCUUCGGUUGUUCCUGUAAAAUAACUUUCAAGAAAAUAUUUUUCACAAUUUCCCAUUAUUAGGGCAUUCAGAAAAAUAAAUCAACGGAAAAUAUUUUAAUCAUUUUUAAGGAAAAUGACUUUCCAAUUUCAAGAGAGGAAAAUAAAUUUAUAUAUUCAUAUUUUUUAAUUUAUUAGUCAUUUAUAGCCACUGCCACCCGUCACCGUGUACCACCAACUAUCAUUGCCGGCUACCCUCGGCCACUACCAUCGGCUUUCAUAAUCUACCAUUUUUUACAUUUUCAUCAUAUUUAACAAAAAAAUUUUUAAAAUACGAAAUUUUUAUUGUUGUUAAUAUUUUUAUGAUCUUAUGAGUUAAAGAUUCUAAUAUUUUUAAUUAUUGAAAUUAAAUAAGAAAAAUAAGUCGUUUGAAAAAUAUUAUUUAAUCCAAAGAUAAUUUCCAAAAACAAACGCAUGUAAUUCAAUAUCAAGGAAGAAUAUAAGAAAAGCAAGUGAAAGUUCAUGGUUUUGUCAUUAAGACCCUUUUAAGUGAUUUUUACUCAUUUGCCUUUUCCCAGAGACAAAUAUUAUGUUAUGGAAACUUUAUUUUCCUCUUUAUAUGGUGUUUUUCACUUCAUUACAGCAAUCAUCAAUAAGAUAACGUUUAACAAUUUUGGGAAUAAUAUGGUUAACUAUAGUUACCUAUAUAUAUAUAUUUAUAUUGCUUUUAUAAUCUCUUGAAAAAGGCACCCAUUAAAAUAAUUAAGUGUAUUAUUGACAACUCACUCGAAUAACUCAACAAAAAGACUUUUGGAUUUGGCAGCAAUUAUUUUAGUUUAUUUUUGUAAGUAAUUUUCAGCUUUCUUCUUCGUGCUAUGUGAUUUCUUGCGACUAGAUUAAAGAAUUUGAGCUUGGAUGGUAGUUGUGAUGGAGUUAGGGAUCUUAAAUACUGUUUAUGCGAGAUUAUUCAAAUAAAUUCCCAAAAUUUAUGAUGCCAUUGAUAUUAUAAAUUGAAUUUUUAUGAAGUAUAGUAUAAGAAUGUAACAGUUGAAGAUAUUGACUUGAGAUUGAGCAUGAAUUUCUGUUUGUGAAGAGCCUUGGGAUUCAAAAACACUGUGCUGAAAAUAAUUCGGGAAUUUUGAUAUUAAUCUCUAAUUGAAAUAUAAACUGAGAUUUAAUGUAAAAAUUGUUAGUUUAUAUGAAUUAAUAACCCCUGAGAUGGCAGUAGUUAUAUGAUGUUGUGAGUGAAUUUUGUGAUGGGGAAUGAAUUAAUUAUAUAUGGCGUAUGAGUUUGGUGAAGAAAAACGAUGAUUUCUUGAAAUUAGAGGUAGCUAAGUGAGUAUUUCCCUGAUUAUGGAUUGUAGCAAGUCAAGAUAUUUGGUGCUUUAGUUAGUUUCACAUUGGUUACAAGAUAUUGGAAGUAUUUUCGUUUGGAAUAAGAUUUAAUCAUAAUAUUCUCAUUCUUUGUGACUGAAAGGAAAAAGGAAGACAUAAAAAUAGUUGAAUGUGAAUUGGAACUUGAAAUUUUCAUUUUUAUUUUUAGAAUAGUAGCUUGGUGCAUUUUUAUUUGUUAUUUAUUUAGUUAGAAAAGAGAAUGAAUGUCAUACUUUUAUUAUCAGUACAAUAUGAUGGGAAUAGAAAUGUCUGUUUUUGUUAACUAGGCUAGUUAAAGCUAAUUGUGUAAAUAUGCAUAUAUAUAUAUAUAUAUAUAUAUAUAUAUAUAACGAUUAAUAAAUGAUUUUAUUUAGAAUAUAAAUUAAAUUUUAUAAAGAAGUUGUGAUGGUUGGAUGACGAUGUUGGUAUUAAGAGGAGGUUGGGUAUUUGAUUUGAUUGAAUACCCGAUGGAUGGACUGUGUAUUGAUUGAAAAUAUUUGACGUUAUUAUGAUAUUUAAUCAGGUGGAAACUCCUAUUUUUAGAGGAGGUUUUGCUGAAAUUUCGACAAAAUCUUGAAUAAAUCAUACUUAAUAAAUAGGUUAUUAGAUUUAUUUAGAAUGAUUUCUUAUUCUUAUUAGGAGGAAUUCUUUAUUUAAUUCUUCUCCCCUAUCAAUUCUACUUCAUAUAGAUUAUUCAAGAUUGUCUUAUGCUUUUAAAAAAAAAAAAAAAAAGAACUAUAAUUAGAGUAUUCCCUUUCUUAUUGCCGCGAGUUAUAAUAAAUAGUAUAUUAUCAUUUACAUCGUGUAUACAUACAUUAUUAUAUAAUGUUACAAUUUCUUACUUAUUUAUUUAUUAUUUAUUUAUUUAUUAAUUUAGUUUAUAGCGUAAAUAUCCAUUAUUUUGUACUUGACUUAUAUAUGUGUAUAUUUGAACAUUUGCAUAACAAUGUUUGUUUAUUUAAUGUGCUUGCAUUUGAAUGCAAUGUUUGAUUAGAUGUGUUGUGAUGAUGAUAUGCUUUGUUUGCGUGGAAUUGAGACGAAGUGGGUCACCAUUGGAUUUUUGAGGGCGGUCUACGAUACCGUCAGCCAUAUAUGGGGAGAUCGGCGCAUCCGUGUAAAUCUGAUGAUAUGGAUUAUAUGAAAAACCACAGGGUGAUCUCUUGUUGGUAUAGAAAGAAAAGAGAGUAAAAAAAAAAAAUUAGUGAGCUGGUCAAGUGAGAAUUAAACCAAUCGGCCAUGUAUGGGGAUCAGUCAUGUAUAAGGAUGAGACCAGUCGGCCAUGUGUUAGUGGUUGAGAAUAAAUUACAUGUUCUGUUCAGUUGGUUCUAACUCAUAAUGCAUAAAUUGGAAAAGUUUCUAUAGGUGUUAGAAGUUGAAGAAUCUCACGUUGCAUAUAGAUGACGUGCUACAUUUUCUCUUCGCAGUACUGGAAUACAUUGAUUUUUUUUUUUUUUUUUUUUUUAAUCAUGAGUUCAUUAUAGCUUUUAUUCUUCAUUGUUCCGACACUGACAUGAGCUGAUUUUAUACAUAUCAAAUCUUGGCUGCAAAUAAUGCAAUUAUUUCUUCAGGUCCGCUAAAACCGGGACUGCUUAGGCCAGAACUCGAGAUUGUCAUAAUCGUCUCAAAUCCAAUCCCUGCUGGUAAGUAUAAAACUUUCAUGGAUUAUUUUCGAUGUUUUUGGUUUCUACAAUCUACAACUGUAAUUUUAUAGAGACUGCUAUUAGUUAAGCUUGCAAAGUUUGGUGAGAUACUCCAAAUUUUCUAUUGAUGUUUUAUUUUCAGAUGUUAUUCAUCCAUGUAUUGUCACUUAGCAUUUCUAAUCCUAGGAGGGUCUGUCCUUCAUACAAAACAUCUAGUCAAGAAUUAAAUGAUCUCAAAUAAUUUCCUAUUCAUGCAAAUCGACAGCUCGUCCGCACCGAGAUGCAAAUGACUUACAUUUGCAAGUGGAGUUGAGAUUUUAUAAGUAAUUAUUUGGCAAUGUGGCUUUAUGGAGCAAAAUUUGAUUUUGAAUGAAAAAAUUACAUCGAAAGAAUCUAUAUGUGUCAAAACCUAAUAAUAAUUUAUUUUCUUUUUCUUUUGCAUUGAGCAGGGGGAAUUUGAACCAGGAUUUAUAGUUAGAUUAUAUAUGCAUUUACCAUCACUCUAUUACGGCUUGUUGCGCAUAAAUCUAAUAAAAUUAAGCUAAUAAUUUGGCUAUUAUUUAUAACAAAUGAACACAAUAAAAUUCUAAUAAAAAGAAUAAAAUUGAUGUACAUAGAUUAUGAAAUUUUUGGAAGAGGCUUGCGAAGAAGAAAGUGGUGAAUAAGUGAAAGCUCACUUGCAGGCUGAAAGGCAGGCACUUCAUGUCCAGCCCCUCUCACUGUAACAAAAGUAAAGUCUCCUUUAUAAAUUUCUGUAUACCCACUAACCUGAAACACAAACAUUCAGUUUUAAUAGGAAAAUUUAACUUUGGCGAGUGAGUUGUUACUUCCAUUAAGCUUGGAUUUGUAAAGGUUGUCAAGAAUUUCACUUUGCCUGUUGCUAAUGCUAUGGCUCUGGGAUGUUAAAUAAGAAAAAAUGAAAAAGAAAAGAAAUAGGUUUUUCCCCAUUGCACGAAAAGGUUUUAGGGUUUUUGAUUUUUGUUUCUUGAAUCCAAAUUAUGUGUUUAUAUUAUGUAGACAGGUGUUAUGAGAGAGAAUAUAAUAUAUUUAAUUUUCACAAUUUUGGGGAAUCACUCCUUUUGUGGCCUCAUCAAGGGCCCUUCUUAAAAAUGGUCCCAGCUGUAUUUUUGUCGGUAAAGGAUGAUUUUAAUAUAAUGCUUUGUUGAUAAAGAAGACUUUAGUCCAUUCAUUAAGUGAUAUGCUCUACCCACUUUAGUUAGUGCUUGUCUACUCCAAAAUGUGAACCCCGUAAUGCCCCGUUUGUUGUUUUUCUAUUUUUCAAUUUUGAAAGAAAUACCUAUCGUUUAAAUUUAUUAUUUUUGUUAUUUCAUAUUUUUAAAACAAAAAAAAGAAUUGAGUGUCGAAAUUUAAAAGAAAAUUCACAAAAUUCAUUCUUUGUUUUUUAAUUCAAUUUCUGAAAAAUAAAUUUUAAUUUAGAAAAAUGGAAAUUGAAAACUAACAAGAUAAAAAUUAGAAACUAAAAUUAGGGUAAACACCACUUAAGGAUUCUUUGUUCCAACGGUAGGUUGGCAUCUAAUACCAAAAAGAUAAGGAAACUACUCAAGCAGUUGAUCAUUUUUUUAAUACAUCAAAAAAUCAUUAAAGGUUAUUACACAUCAAUAGGACAAUAAUAAUAAAAUAAAAAGCAAUGGUGCCAAAGAAAUUCGAGGCUUUAUAGGCACUCUUUGUUUUUUUUUUUUUACGUAAUAAUGGUAUUCUUUUCUUGAAGCUCAAGCGGGUCUUUUCAAUGGAGUAGGUGGGGACCUUAGGAAGGAACCAAUUUCUCUUCAUUCACUGAAAAUAGUCAUAAACACUAGAAAUGCCUGUUUAGCUUUUCAGUUUCAAUCACCUGCCAAUUUUGUGUUUGGUAUUACAACUUCCUUCGAGUCUUUGAUACUGCAACUCCACUUUCAAUAACCGAUCAAUUCUUCAAUUGGUCGAAUUUUCUGCUGAAAAUUUUGAUCAUCCUCUCUUUGUGAUGGAAAUUGCAUCUGCUAUUGGAGGUGCUCUUCUAGCACCUGCCUUUGAGUCUUUGUUUAAUAAGUUGGCUUCCAAGGACUUGCUCAAUUAUGCCCGUGAAGGACAUGUGCUGACUGAAAUCAACAAGUGGAAGGAGAUGUUGGAGAGCAUCUGUGGCGUUCUUGAGGAUGCAGAGGAGAAGCAGACGGUGAGCAAGCCGGUGAAGAUGUGGGUAAGACAGUUGAGGAACCUGGCGUAUGAUUUGGAGGACAUUCUUGAUGAGUUUGAUUUUGAGGCUCGUCGAUCCAAGUUGAAAGCUGAACCUGUGGCUGGUUCAAGUAAGGUGCGAAAGCUCUUCCAUAAUAUUCGUGCGGUCAAAUUCAAUAAAGAGAUGAUUUCCAAGAUAAAGGGAAUUAGUUCCCGACUAGAAGAUAUCACCUCACGAAGAAAUCAACUAGAUUUGAAAGAAAGGCCCGGUAGAAAGAGUGAAAGGAUUCCUGCGACGUGCUUGGUGAAUCAAGCCGAGAUUUAUGGGAGGGAGAAAGAUAAGAAGGCGAUUCUUGAACUUUUGAAUUCUGAAUCAAGUGAUAGAAGGGUUGCUCUGAUUUCUAUAGUUGGACUGGGAGGUGUUGGUAAGACAACUCUAGCGCAGCUUAUCUUUAAUGAAGCUGGAGAGAAGUUUGAUUUGACGGCUUGGGUUUCUGUCGGUGAAGAUUUUGACGUGGUUAGACUUACAAAAACAGUUCUUCAGUCGGUCGGUGGAGAUCUUACUUCCAACGAUUUGAAUUCGCAUCAAUUAGACCUGAAGGCAAGGCUGUCAGAGAAGAAGUUUUUUAUGGUUCUAGAUGAUGUUUGGAACGAGAAUUAUGACCAUUGGACAAUCUUUCUUCGCCCCUUUGAGAAUGGGGCAAAAGAAAGUAGAAUUAUCGUCACAACUCGCAAUCUUGCCGUUUCACAGACGAUGGGUGCUAUUCAAAGUUAUACACUUGGAGUGUUGGAGAAUGAUGAUUGCCUGUCUGUGUUUGCCCAUCAUGCUCUUGGAGUAACAAAUUUUGAGGAGCACUUGGAUCUAGAAGCAAUAGGUAAGAAGAUUGUGGAAAGGUGUCAAGGCUUACCUUUGGCAGCUAAAGCUAUUGGAGGUCUCUUACGAGGUCAACCAACUCGCGAUGCAUGGGAACAAGUGCUAAACAGCGGCAUUUGGGAGGAGAAAGGCGACAUUCUUCCAGCAUUAAAGUUGAGCUAUCACCAUCUUCCACCUCAUCUGAAACGAUGUUUUGUUUAUUGUGCAAUUUUUCCACAAGAUUACAAAUUCGAUGAGGAUGAGUUGGUUCUACAGUGGAUGGCUGAGGGAUUUGUACAGCACGCACAGGAAAUGAAGCAAAUGAAACGCUCGGGUCAUCUAUAUUUCCAUGAUUUAUUAUGGAGAUCCUUUUUUCAACAAUCUACUGGCAAUAAAUCACGAUAUGUGAUGCAUGACCUACUCAAUGAUCUAGCUAAAUCUGUAAGUGGAGAAAUAUGCCUUCAUUUGGACGAUGAUAAGUUGAAGGGCAUAAAAUCACAUGCAAACGUUCGCCAUUCAGCGUUCGCUUGUCAUCGCUAUGACAGGUAACAAAGAUUUGAAGUCUUUUAUGAGAUGAGUAAUCUGCGAACAUUCUUAGCAUUAUCCCCUAAUCAAUGGGGACAUAAUUUUUUAUCUAUUAGAGUGGUGCAUGACAUAGUGCCCAAACUGAAACGUUUAAGGGUGCUAUCACUAGCUCCAUACGAGUUUGAAGAGUUGCCAAGUUCAAUUGGGGCCUUAAGGCAUUUACGAUAUCUGAACUUGUCUUACAACGCCGGGAUUAAAAGAUUACCUAAUUCACUGAUAAAUCUUCAAAACUUGCAGACACUGAAGUUAUGUGCUUGUCGGAAUCUUAUUGAGUUGCCCACAGGCAUUGGCGCUUUAAUCAAUUUGAUGCACCUCGAUCUUAAAGGUACGGAUGCUUUGCAGGAGAUGCCAUUGGGGGUAGCUAAAUUGAUAAAUCUUCAAAUAUUGUCUAAGUUUAUGGUGGGAAAAGGAAGUAAUUGCCUUGGACUUAGAGAGGUAAUGAACCUCCCUCAUCUAGAAGGACAACUUCGUAUUGAAGAGCUACAGAACGUGGCAAGGAUCGAAGAUGCAAAUCUCGUUGAUUUAAAGAAGAUUGAGAAUCUUGGUGAUUUGGCCUUGGUAUGGACCCGCGUGAUUCACCACGCGAAGAGGAUCAUGAAUUCCAGGUUCUCAACUUGCUAGAACCUCAUCAAAAGUUGGAAAGCCUUUCGGUUCAAUUUUAUGGCGGUAAGCAAUUUCCUUUGUGGAUAGGAGAUCCUGCAUUCACAAAUAUGGUGGAUCUAGAGCUUUGGGAUUGUCAGAAUAUUACCUCGCUGCCACCGCUAGGUAGACUAUGUAAACUGAAAAGGCUGUGCAUCAAAGGCAUGGAUGAACUGCAAGAAGUAGGGCUUGAGCUUUCCCCGUCCCUUCAGAUUCUACAAAUUGAGGAUAUGUUGAAGUUGAAGCAAUGGGCUCACUCUGAUGACGUCAAUGUAGAGGUUACAAGAAAAUUUCCCAGACUACGUCGCAUUUGGAUAGGCAAAUGUCCUAAAUUGGUUGUGACAUUGCCUACCUCCCUUCCUUCCCUUGAGGUAUUGGACAUUCGUGGAUGUAAAGAUAUUAUUCUCGAAAGUGUGCACGAUCUAUGUUACCUUCAAACCUUGUCCAUUUCGAGUAUUUCAGCGCUUCAAAAUUUACAUCAAGUGGUUACGCAGUCCUUGGUGGCGCUAGAACAUCUGUCCAUUGAUAAUUGCCGCCAAUUGAUACACCUGUGGCAGGGUUCAACUGAUUUAGACAAACUUUCUAGGUUGAAAUCUCUAAGGAUCCAAGGUUGUGAGAAGCUAAUGUCUUUGAUAAGAGGAGAAGAAGGGAAUUUGCCUUGCAAUCUUGAAAUUUUGGAGAUAAUGUGCUGCAAUGG